GCGUCCGUAAUUCAAAGGAUAGAAUGCUUGUUUCCGAUGCAAGUUGUUGGGGGUUCGAGUCCCUUCGGACGCGCCA
rnacentral:tRNA from 1 species